UACGUUCAUAUUACAUUGAAUCACUGGAUCCCGUACGAUCACCGAAGUUAAACAACGUCGAUCUGGUCAGUACCUGGAUGGGCGACCGCUUGGGUAAUACAGGUGGUGUAU